UUUUGGAUCAGUUGUCGGUGUUUUGUAGGGCUAGUAAGCCCACGUGGAGGUCGCGGUGUUCGUUGAUACAUAUGGAUAUCGUUGAGGAUCACGGGACAGACCGCGUCUUACGACAGUUCGGCCACGUAUAAAAUAUACCUAAGCAGGCUAUUUGGGAGCACGACCAUUAUAUCCGGGACGAGCGUGCGGCCGUCACUGAUGCAUGGCGGGUCUUUAUGCAACUCCAGGUCCACCGUUGGGAUCAGAGAGUGGGGAUGCUAGUGGUGGUCGGACAUGGGACUCUAAUCCAGAGGUACAUGGAGUGGUACACGUGAAUCACUCGCAACUUGAUUGGCAACCCCGCGAGGCCUCGUGCAGAUGGCCGAGGAUAUGCAGCACUCGCAGGACAGUAUGAGGCGUUGCUACGGACCGUACAGAGGAUGCGUUAGGAGAGCUUGGGCCAUAUGGAUGCCCCUGAGACAGCGGGAUAUGCAGCGCGGAUGGUUCAGCUACCCGAGGAUGGUAUGCUAUAGGCCCAGGAGCUUAGACGUCUCGACGAGCGUGUUCCAGAGGUCCCGCAUCAGGCAGCGGAUGGUCGUGGUCGUGGUCAUGCCAGAGGGGCUGGUGGCCGAGAGGGUAGGGGCAGAAGGGCUAGUGGCCGAGGUGGUAGGGCCAUAGGAGUUGGUCACAGAGGAGGUGGGGACAGAGGGGGUGGUGGUCUAGUAGAUGAGCCUGACGAGCAUGCUCCAGUCCACUAGCCUCCGUUGACUUCAGAGAUAUCGUCGACUUUUUACCUGCCGUCGACUUUAUAGCAUCCGUCGACACCUGUAUAUACGCCGGAUUUAUUUUCAGAUCACAUGUUCUGGCCAUCGCCUGCACAGCCACCGGGUCAUCAUCCACAGGGUGAGCUUUGAGCUCGUGAUCUACAGGGUGGCACGGAGCUUGACUUCGAUUACUUAUUCGAGGACUUUGACCUGUCUCCGACUCUGGGCCCCCACUUAGGAGACAGCUGAGGAGCCAACUCAGGAGCCCUCUCACCAGCCAUCUCAGAAGCUUGUCGACACAUAGGUUCAUUCUUCUGCGCCUGUGGACCCGUCUACUGCUCCGGUACCAUCUACAUCUCCGGCUUUGGGACCCGCUCAGGAAACUACUAAGCAGCCAGCUCAUGAGCCCUCUAAGGAGCCCUCUCGCCAGCCAUCUCAGGAGCCCGUCGACACACAGGUUCAUUCUUCUGCGCCUGUGGACUCGUCUCCUAUUGAGAUUGAGUUAUCUCCUGAAGCUCACAUUUCGGCCACCGUCGUCUUCCAUAGGAAGCAUAUUUUUAACAAGCCCCCAAGGAAGGAAGGAAGGGUGAUCAUGCCAUAGAGCAUGUACGGAUUAAGAGGAA